GUCGCUCGCGCUGGAAGAAGCGGAAGAAGAUGGCGCUCACCAGCUUUUUACCUGCACCUACUCAGCUAUCUCAGGACCAGCUUGAGGCUGAAGAAAAGGCAAGAUCCCAGAGAUCGCGGCAGACCUCACUGGUCUCCUCCCGAAGAGAACCUCCCCCGUACGGAUACCGGAAAGGCUGGAUACCUCGGUUAUUAGAGGAUUUUGGAGAUGGAGGUGCUUUUCCAGAGAUCCAUGUGGCCCAGUAUCCACUGGAUAUGGGACGAAAGAAAAAAAUGUCGAAUGCGCUGGCCAUUCAGGUGGAUUCUGAAGGAAAAAUUAAAUAUGAUGCAAUUGCUCGACAAGGACAGUCAAAAGACAAGGUCAUUUAUAGCAAAUACACUGACCUGGUUCCAAAGGAGGUUAUGAAUGCAGAUGAUCCAGACCUGCAAAGGCCUGAUGAAGAAGCUAUUAAAGAGAUAACAGAAAAGACAAGAGUAGCCUUAGAAAAAUCUGUAUCACAGAAGGUCGCCGCAGCCAUGCCAGUUCGAGCAGCUGACAAACUGGCUCCUGCUCAGUAUAUCCGGUAUGAAUCAUGCCUAGAAGACUUAGUUUCAUUCUGAACU
rnacentral:sRNA from 1 species